ACAGAAAAUGACUGAGCGGCGAACGGGUGAGUAACGCGUGAGCAAUCUACCUUAGUUACUGGGAUAGCCCGAGGAAACUCGGAUUAAUACCGGAUAUUCUUAUUUUUUCACAUGAAGUUUUAAGGAAAGGUCAGCCGAACUAAGAUGAGCUCGCGUUCUAUCAGCUAGUUGGUGGGGUAAAAGCCUACCAAGGCUACGACGGAUAGCUGGUCUGAGAGGACGAUCAGCCACACUGGGACUGAGACACGGCCCAGACUCCUACGGGAGGCUGCAGCAGGGAAUAUUGCGCAAUGAGCGAAAGCUUGACGCAGCGACACCGCGUGUGGGAUGACGGUUCUAGGAUUGUAAACCACUUUCAGGAGGGAAGAAAAUGACGGUACCUCCACAAGAAGACCCGGCCAACUACGUGCCAGCU
rnacentral:rRNA from 1 species